UACGUAGGUGGCAAGCGUUGUCCGGAUUUACUGGGCGUAAAGGGCGUGCAGGCGGUUUGUUAAGUCUAGGGUGAAAGCUCCCGGCUCAACUGGGAGAGGUCCUUGGAUACUGGCGAACUUGAGGGAUGCAGAGGAGACUGGAAUUCCCGGUGUAGCGGUGAAAUGUGUAGAUAUCGAGAGGAACACCGGUGGCGAAGGCGGCCUUCUGGACAGUUACUGACGCUGAGACGCGAAAGCGUGGGGAGCAAACAGG
rnacentral:rRNA from 1 species